CUCCAUCCUUUUUUUCAUGGCUAUUUCAAUCUACCACUUUGCUGUGUUUGAGAAAAAUCCUUUGGAUAUGCUACCAAUAUCAUUCAGGGAUAUUGGCUGGCUGGCUGGCUGGCUGUAUUUCAAUCUAUCACUUCUGUAUUUCAAAUUCCAUUGUGCGCCGGGCUGAACAUGAUAUUUGUGCAUGUAAGUUACAAUGGCCUGGAUCAUUAGGCUACUCUUGGCUCUUACUAAUAAAUCUGUCAAAAAGUUCAUUUUACUCCCCUCACCUAUUUACUUUGUCCACUUACCCCUCCUAAGCAAAAUUUAGGCUCACUUUACUCCCCCAAACUAUUUCAUUUGGUCCAAUCUACCCCUAAUCAGAUUUCUCUUUUUUUUUCUUCAUGUGCAAGUUGAGUUUUAAUUUCAAAUUUUUUCAGUUGACUUAUAACAUGAUGCUCUACGUUAGAAAAAUACGUUAGCAAUUUUUCGUUAUUACUUUUUGUACAGUUUUGUAUAUCUAACAUCAAUUUUGUAUUAAAUAUUUCUAACCUAUGAAAUAAC
rnacentral:lncRNA from 1 species